GAGUUUGAUCAUGGCUCAGGACGAACGCUGGCGGCGUGCUUAACACAUGCAAGUCGAACGAAGAGCGAUGGAAGCUUGCUUCUAUCAAUCUUAGUGGCGAACGGGUGAGUAACGCGUAAUCAACCUGCCCUUCAGAGGGGGACAACAGUUGGAAACGACUGCUAAUACCGCAUACGAUCUAACCUCGGCAUCGAGGAAAGAUGAAAGGUGGCCUCUAUGUAUAAGCUAUCACUGAAGGAGGGGAUUGCGUCUGAUUAGCUAGUUGGAGGGGUAACGGCCCACCAAGGCGAUGAUCAGUAGCCGGUCUGAGAGGAUGAACGGCCACAUUGGGACUGAGACACGGCCCAGACUCCUACGGGAGGCAGCAGUGGGGAAUCUUCCGCAAUGGACGAAAGUCUGACGGAGCAACGCCGCGUGAGUGAUGACGGCCUUCGGGUUGUAAAGCUCUGUUAAUCGGGACGAAAGGCCUUCUUGCGAAUAGUUAGAAGGAUUGACGGUACCGGAAUAGAAAGCCACGGCUAACUACGUGCCAGCAGCCGCGGUAAUACGUAGGUGGCAAGCGUUGUCCGGAAUUAUUGGGCGUAAAGCGCGCGCAGGCGGAUCAGUCAGUCUGUCUUAAAAGUUCGGGGCUUAACCCCGUGAGGGGAUGGAAACUGCUGAUCUAGAGUAUCGGAGAGGAAAGUGGAAUUCCUAGUGUAGCGGUGAAAUGCGUAGAUAUUAGGAAGAACACCAGUGGCGAAGGCGACUUUCUGGACGAAAACUGACGCUGAGGCGCGAAAGCCAGGGGAGCGAACGGGAUUAGAUACCCCGGCAGUCCUGGCCGUAAACGAUGGGUACUAGGUGUAGGAGGUAUCGACCCCUUCUGUGCCGGAGUUAACGCAAUAAGUACCCCGCCUGGGGAGUACGACCGCAAGGUUGAAACUCAAAGGAAUUGACGGGGGCCCGCACAAGCGGUGGAGUAUGUGGUUUAAUUCGACGCAACGCGAAGAACCUUACCAGGUCUUGACAUUGAUGGACAGAACUAGAGAUAGUUCCUCUUCUUCGGAAGCCAGAAAACAGGUGGUGCACGGUUGUCGUCAGCUCGUGUCGUGAGAUGUUGGGUUAAGUCCCGCAACGAGCGCAACCCCUAUCUUAUGUUGCCAGCACUUCGGGUGGGAACUCAUGAGAGACUGCCGCAGACAAUGCGGAGGAAGGCGGGGAUGACGUCAAAUCAUCAUGCCCCUUAUGACCUGGGCUACACACGUACUACAAUGGGAGUUAAUAGACGGAAGCGAGAUCGCGAGAUGGAGCAAACCCGAGAAACACUCUCUCAGUUCGGAUCGUAGGCUGCAACUCGCCUACGUGAAGUCGGAAUCGCUAGUAAUCGCAGGUCAGCAUACUGCGGUGAAUACGUUCCCGGGCCCUUGUACACACCGCCCGUCA
rnacentral:rRNA from 1 species